rnacentral:tRNA from 1 species
AGCAGUUUGGCGCAGUGGCAGCGCGGUAAGUCAUUCACACUUCACAACACCAAACAAACAAAGCUAAUUCAAACAAGCCGGGCUCAUAACCCGGAGGUCGACGGAUCGAAGCCGUCAACUGCUA